CCCGUUAUCUCCUUCCUCCCGACGAAGUCAUGAAGCACGAUUGGAUCAAGAGAAGAUGCGAAACCAAUCUCCCCUGCCGCCACCUCCUCUCGAGUCCUGAUAAGCGAUGGGUUCUAAUCCUUCUACCACCCCAUUUCCAAAGACUCCGAUUGAUCUCCGUUUCUUCCGCUCCAGGAGUAGUUGUGGCCUCUGCGUUCCUAUGGCCUCUCUCAUCGUAGGUUAUGUGUGCCUCCAAUUUCGUUGUAGCAAUGGCAGAUCUUAUUUAUGCUCGGAGCCUAGCGAAGAAUUGCAUCCACGAUA
rnacentral:lncRNA from 1 species